CAAGACAGUCGGGCGAUUACGUGGUUUUUUCCACGAGGAAAGUCCGAACAUCACAGGACAGGAUGCCGGCUAACUACCGGUGAAGGCGACUUUAAGGAAAGUGCAACAGAAAUAAACUACCCGACUUUUUCGGGAAAAGGUGGAACGGCGGGGUAAAAGCCCACCGCCUCGACGGCAACGCCGAGGGCUAUGUAAACCCCAUCCGAUGCAAGAUGCGGGAGCUAUGAGUGGUCCGCUCGCUCCCCUAUAUCGCUUGAACCUUUCGGCAACGACUGGUCUAGACAGAUAAUCGCCCAAGACAGAAUUCGGCUUACAGAUUGUCUUGCCAC
rnacentral:RNase_P_RNA from 1 species